GAUGAACGCUGGCGGCGUGCCUAAUACAUGCAAGUCGAGCGAACAGAUGAGGAGCUUGCUCCUCUGACGUUAGCGGCGGACGGGUGAGUAACACGUGGAUAACCUACCUAUAAGACUGGGAUAACUUCGGGAAACCGGAGCUAAUACCGGAUAAUAUAUUGAACCGCAUGGUUCAAUAGUGAAAGACGGUUUUGCUGUCACUUAUAGAUGGAUCCGCGCCGCAUUAGCUAGUUGGUAAGGUCACGGCUUACCAAGGCAACGAUGCGUAGCCGACCUGAGAGGGUGAUCGGCCACACUGGAACUGAGACACGGUCCAGACUCCUACGGGAGGCAGCAGUAGGGAAUCUGCCGCAAUGGGCGAAAGCCUGACGGAGCAACGCCGCGUGAGUGAUGAAGGUCUUCGGAUCGUAAAACUCUGUUAUUAGGGAAGAACAAAUGUGUAAGUAACUAUGCACGUCUUGACGGUACCUAAUCAGAAAGCCACGGCUAACUACGUG
rnacentral:rRNA from 1 species